AUUGAACGCUGGCGGCAUGCCUUACACAUGCAAGUCGAACGGCAGCAUGGAGAGCUUGCUCUCUGAUGGCGAGUGGCGAACGGGUGAGUAAUGCAUCGGAACGUACCGUGUAAUGGGGGAUAACGUAGCGAAAGUUACGCUAAUACCGCAUACGACCUGAGGGUGAAAGCAGGGGAUCGCAAGACCUUGCGUUAUACGAGCGGCCGAUGUCAGAUUAGCUAGUUGGUGAGGUAAAGGCUCACCAAGGCGACGAUCUGUAGCGGGUCUGAGAGGAUGAGCCGACACACUGGGACGGAGACACGGCCCGGACUCCUACGGGAGGCAGCAGUGGGGAAUUUUGGACAAUGGGGGCAACCCUGAUCCAGCCAUGCCGGGCGAGUGAAGAAGGCCUUCGGGUUGUAAAGCUCUUUCGACCGGGAAGAAAUCGCACAGGCUAAUACUCUGUGUGGAUGACGGUACCGGCAUAAGAAGCACCGGCCAACUACGUGCCAGCCGCCGCCGUAA
rnacentral:rRNA from 1 species